AUUGAACGCUGGCGGCAUGCUUUACACAUGCAAGUCGAACGGUAACAGGUUAAGCUGACGAGUGGCGAACGGGUGAGUAAUGCAUCGGAACGUGCCCGAUCGUGGGGGAUAACGCAGCGAAAGCUGCGCUAAUACCGCAUACGAUCUGAGGAUGAAAGCGGGGGACCGUAAGGCCUCGCGCGAUCGGAGCGGCCGGUGUCAGACUAGGUAGUUGGUGGGGUAAAGGCUCACCAAGCCAACGAUCUGUAGCUGGUCUGAGAGGACGACCAGCCACACUGGGACUGAGACACGGCCCAGACUCCUACGGGAGGCAGCAGUGGGGAAUUUUGGACAAUGGGCGAAAGCCCGAUCCAGCAAUGCCGCGUGCAGGAAGAAGGCCUUCGGGUUGUAAACUGCUUUUGUACAGAGCGAAAAGGUUCUCUCUAAUACAGAGGGCUCAUGACGGUACCGUAAGAAUAAGCACCGGCUAACUACGUGCCAGCCGCCGCGGUAACAC
rnacentral:rRNA from 1 species